ensembl:lncRNA
GUCAGCUCCUGGAUUCGCUGGCUGGUCAGUCAACCACUGAUCCUUCAGAAGGGGAAUCCAGCCUGUAGCAUUGCUCGCAGUGCUGCCCAGCAGAAAGCAGACACGACGGAUCUGCAAACGGAUCUUGAGUCAGCGUACGGCCGACUUGUCGAACAGCACCCGGUGACUCUGGGGGGUGAGGCGCCAGAUAAGACUCUGCGUGCUGAAAUCUCAGCUAGCUUUCAGCGGAAGCUGUACGAGCGAUUGUUUGAAGGCACAGAUGAAACUGCACAAGCAGCAUAUUCACUUGAGGAAAAGGUCAGCAAGUGGAGGACCAACAUACCCAGUGCAGCCCAGUUCGUGAAGAAUGGAAGCCCCCUGGAUCCAUGGACACAGCAAUGGACGCUAAACAAAGCCGGACACGCACCAGGACCCAGAAGUGAAAGGACUUCUUGUGACAGAAGAUGAAGGGCAAGGGCAUUAUUGCAACGUAAAGAUUUCCGGCUGGCGAGGUGGUGUGUGACCAUCACGGGCAGGUCAUCACAGCCUCAGAGGGACACAGCGCUCACAGCACUGUAAGUGUGGAGGACGGUCUUCAGGUUUUUUUCAAG